GGCUUUCCACAGUGGCCUUAUUGUAGCCAGUGAGGUUUAUCCAAGGCACGAUUAUUGUUAAUUGAAACUUUAUCAAUGACUACAAGCACAUCUGUCAUUGGCAUGUCCUCUAGCAU
rnacentral:snRNA from 1 species